rnacentral:lncRNA from 1 species
GAUGACAGUAGACAUUUUUUCAAAGGGGACGAGAAGCUGCUGGAGGUUUGCUGCUCCCAAGGAUCUGGGAAUCUUUGCACUAAGCCUGACAAAAACUGACAAAUAGGAAGCUUAUGUACGCAGUGAGAGUAGCAUGUUUGUCUUCAAGAGAUGUCUCGUUUUGCAGACAUGUGGAACUACCCUCUUUCUGCAAGCACUGGUUCCCAUAUUGAAGCUUGCUAGACAUGACAAUGGGUUUGACUCAAUUAAAGCUUCUUUUAUUCGCAUAAGAAUUUCAUGAAGCUUCUUCACCAAGGAUACUCACGCCAGAAUUUCCAGGAAGAAAUAGAGAUUCUUAAUGCAAUUUUCCCAAAUGGAGCAGCAUAUUGUAUGAGAUGUAUGAGUUGUGAUGUUGGUACUUAUAUGUACUGGGUUUCCCAGGGAGUGGGGUAAUCAGUCAGACAGAUUAAACCCUGGAAAUUCUGAUGAGUGUGCUUGACCCAGCAGUUAUGGACCAGUUCUGCAUGAAAGAUGGUGUUACUGUAGAUGACGUCACUCUCUAGAAUGAAAUUCAUGACUUGAUACCAGAUCCUGUCAUUGAGGCCACACUGUUCAAUCCUUGGGGGAUCUGAUGAAUGGAAUGAAAUAAGAUAGAACUUAUUGGACUAUUCAUAUCACUCCAGAACCAGAAUUUUCUUACUUUAGUUUUAAAAGAAACUUAGGUCAUACCUCCUAUGAUGACCUAAUCGGGACAGUUGUGAAAGUCUUCAAGACAGGAAAAUUUGUGACCACCUUGUUAGCUAAUCAGAGCUCUAAAUGUCACACCAUGUUUUCUUCACCCCAGCAGACUGAAGGUUUUAAAUGUCUUGAUUGCCAGAAUGCUGUGUUCAAUGAUUACAAUUUUGUUUUUACCGGUUUUGCAAAGCAGCAAUGACAACAGAGA